rnacentral:tRNA from 1 species
AGUAUAGUCAGCUAAAUAAGCUCUCGGGCCCAUACCCCGACAAUGUAGGUUAAACUCCUGCCUUUACUG